rnacentral:lncRNA from 1 species
UGGUACACCAGUAAUCAGCCUGUAACAACUCUGUACUUGAAGGCAUGGGGAGAGAAUAUUCAGGGAAAAUUUUACAAAAAUAUUAAAAGACUAGUUUCGGGUUUUGUGGUUUUGGUUUUUUUUUUUUUUUUUUUUUUCCAACCCUGUGUUCAUAACUUAUUUGCAUUACUCAGACUCUCCAUAGCUUGUGAGGUGCCAACCUCCCUCUUCAAGGACCAAAUGUCUCACUACAGCUCUGCUGAUGGAAAUGUUGUCAGUGCUGCUCAAAUGGAAUUGAUAAUGACAUUCUUAAUAAAAUCCAGAAGAAAAAAAACAUUUGUGUGCAUGAAGAGAAGAUGUACAGGGGCUCCUUUGAUACCACACUGCAGGGAUGUUGAACACCGCAGGUGGGAGUGGUGACUGGGUGAGCUCUCUGGGAAGGUGUGUGACCCAGCGUGCUCCAGAAACACCCUGGCACUGAAGGCGUUGUUGGGAGGUGCUUGCCU